rnacentral:rRNA from 1 species
GACGAACGCUGGCGGCGUGCUUAACACAUGCCAGUCGAACGGUGAAGCGCUUUCCUUUUUGGUUGGUGUGGAUGAGUGGCGAACGGGUGAGUAACACGUGAGUAACCUGCCCCCUUCUUCUGGAUAACCGCAUGAAAGUGUGGCUAAUACGGGAUAUUCUGCGCCUGCUGCAUGGUGGGUGUGGGAAAGAUUGUGCCUUUGGGUGUUUUCGGUGGGGGAUGGGCUCGCGGCCUAUCAGCUUGUUGGUGGGGUGAUGGCCUACCAAGGCGGUGACGGGUAGCCGGCCUGAGAGGGUGGACGGUCACACUGGGACUGAGACACGGCCCAGACUCCUACGGGAGGCAGCAGUGGGGAAUAUUGCACAAUGGGCGCAAGCCUGAUGCAGCGACGCCGCGUGAGGGAGGGAGGCCUUCGGGGUGUGAACCUCUUUCGCCAGUGAAGCAGGCCUGCUCCUUGUGGGUGGGUUGACGGUAGCUGGAUAAGAAGCGCCGGCUAACUACGUG